CAACUUUCAACAACGGAUCUCUUGGCUCUCGCAUCGAUGAAGAACGCAGCGAAAUGCGAUACGUAGUGUGAAUUGCAGGUUUACGUGAAUCAUCGAAUCUUCGAACGCAAAUUGCACUUCCCAGCGAAUCUGGGGAGUAUGCCUGGUUGAGGGUCAGU
rnacentral:rRNA from 1 species